rnacentral:rRNA from 1 species
UGCAGUCGAGCGGAUCUUCAUUAGCUUGCUUUUGAAGAUCAGCGGCGGACGGGUGAGUAACACGUGGGCAACCUGCCUGUAAGACUGGGAUAACUUCGGGAAACCGGAGCUAAUACCGGAUAAUCCUUUCCCUCACAUGAGGGGAAGCUGAAAGACGGCUUCUCGCUGUCACUUACAGAUGGGCCCGCGGCGCAUUAGCUAGUUGGUGAGGUAACGGCUCACCAAGGCAACGAUGCGUAGCCGACCUGAGAGGGUGAUCGGCCACACUGGGACUGAGACACGGCCCAGACUCCUACGGGAGGCAGCAGUAGGGAAUCUUCCGCAAUGGACGAAAGUCUGACGGAGCAACGCCGCGUGAACGAUGAAGGCUUUCGGGUCGUAAAGUUCUGUUGUCAGGGAAGAACAAGUACCGGAGUAACUGCCGGUACCUUGACGGUACCUGACCAGAAAGCCACGGCUAACUACGUGCCAGCAGCCGCGGUAAUACGUAGGUGGCAAGCGUUGUCCGGAAUUAUUGGGCGUAAAGCGCGCGCAGGCGGUUCCUUAAGUCUGAUGUGAAAGCCCCCGGCUCAACCGGGGAGGGUCAUUGGAAA